GACAGAGGAGCCAAGCGUUGUCCGGAUUGACUGGGCGUAAAGCGCACGCAGGCGGGGGCGCGCGUGGGGGGUGAAACCUGGCCGCUUAACGGCCAGCGGCCAUCCCAUACGGCGCGCCUGGAGCCUUGCAGAGGGCGGUGGAAUUGCCGGUGUAGUGGUGAAAUGCGUAGAGAUCCGGAGGAACCCCAGAGGCGAAGGCGGCGUCCUGGCCCAUUUCUGACGUUCAGACAUGACAGCAUGGGGAGCGAACGGG
rnacentral:rRNA from 1 species